GAAAGAAAAAUCUGAAUAAAAGGAACGAAUAAUGUAAAAGUCGCAUUUAUGCGCUAAAUUUUGUGUGGAAUUUGUUAUUUUACCUGCUAUCGUGUUAGAAAUAAUGAUUUAUAAAUUCCGUAUUGAAAGUAGACAAUUUGUGAAUAACUAUUAUACAAACGGUCGAGGAUAGCAGAAACAGCAUACUACUUGCAAACAUUGCAUUGCUAUAAACGAAAAAGGAAACCUUCAAAAAGAACAACUUUACAAUUUGAAGAAAAAUUUUUAAACUAUUGUAUUUAUUGUGAACAAUGACAAAGUGGAAACUAUGAUUUAGUGUGAUAAAAUGAGUUAAUACAAAUUUUAACCCUUAAUUGGGUUAAUUUUUUUAAUACUACGCCACCGCAAUUUUCACCCAAGCCAGCUACAUACAUAUAUUAGACGUAAAUUAUUAGCCGGGGCGACAGACACUACUUUCAUUAUUGAUGUGAUAUAAGUAAAAAACUUAUAUAAUUAAAUUAUUAAAUAAACCUUUUACAUAAUUUGUAUAUGGUAAUUGUUUCAAUAAACUAAGUUUGCGCUGUUCUGUAUAGAAAUUCACCUGAUAUAUAGUUUGGUGAAUAAAAGUUUUGUGCCUCGUUAAAGUUUGCGUUGUUGAUAUGUUAGUAGUUUUAUUUGUUAUAUAUAUAAAUUUUGUGCAAUCACUACUUAAUUUUUUGUUGAGCAUUAAAAUCAAAAUGAAAUAUUCCUCGUCAGUGCGUCAAGUCACAGAAACAUCAUUACUUACCCGUCCACACCCACCUCGUCCUUCGCUAAGAUUACUUUUGGCGUCAAACUCAGCUGUUUUUACACAAAUAAAUCAAAACUUUAAAAGGAAAUUUUGAGAGGCAAUGGAAUUACAAUAUUAAAUUCAAAUUGCGUUUCAAAGGACAUCACGAUCUUGUGUUCAGCUGUACAAAUCGAAUUAAGUUCUUUAUCAAAGCAAAUCAAUAACUGCAACUUAAUUUUAAUAUAUAAAAAUAUUUACUAUAAAAUUAGUAUAUCUCAAAAAUUUAAACAACGAUAAAUCGACUUUUUAUAUAUUUUACACAACCCAUUGUUUUGCAAUUGUUUGACGCUUUCCCUUUUUAUAUGGCAAUGGAUUCGCAAGAUUAAUUUGAAAUUGCAUUUUAAAGGACAUCACGAUUUUGUGUUCAGCUGUACAAAUCGAAUUAAGUUUUAUCAAAGCAAAUCAAUAACUACAACUUAAUUUUAAAAUAUAUUAAUAUUUACUAUAAAAUUAGUAUAUAUCAAAAAUUUAA